UUACCCCGCUGGAAAUUAAGCAUAUCAAUAAGCGGAGGAAAAGAAACCAACAGGGAUUACCUCAGUAACGGCGAGUGAAGCGGUAACAGCUCAAAUUUGAAAUCUGGCUCUUUCAGGGUCCGAGUUGUAAUUUGUAGAAGAUGCUUCGGGUGUGGCUCCGGUCUAAGUUCCUUGGAACAGGACGUCAUAGAGGGUGAGAAUCCCGUAUGUGACUGGCUGCCUCCGCCCAUGUGAAGCUCUUUCGACGAGUCGAGUUGUUUGGGAAUGCAGCUCAAAAUGGGUGGUAAAUUUCAUCUAAAGCUAAAUAUUGGCCAGAGACCGAUAGCGCACAAGUAGAGUGAUCGAAAGAUGAAAAGCACUUUGGAAAGAGAGUUAAACAGUACGUGAAAUUGUUGAAAGGGAAGCGCUUGCAAUCAGACUUGCACGCUGCCGAUCAUCCGGGGUUCUCCCCGGUGCACUCGGCUGCGUUCAGGCCAGCAUCGGUUUGGGUGGUUGGAUAAAGGCCUUGGGAAUGUAGCUUCUUUCGGGGAGUGUUAUAGCCCUCGGUGCAAUGCAGCCUACCCGGACCGAGGACCGCGCUUCGGCUAGGAUGCUGGCGUAAUGGUUGUAAGCGACCCGUCUUGAAACACGGACCAAGGAGUCUAACAUCUAUGCGAGUAUUUGGGUGUCAAACCCAUAUGCGUAAUGAAAGUGAACGGAGGUGAGAACCCUUAAGGGUGCAUCAUCGACCGGUCCUGAUGUCUUCGGAUGGAUCUGAGUAAGAGCAUAGCUGUUGGGACCCGAAAGAUGGUGAACUAUGCCUGAAUAGGGUGAAGCCAGAGGAAACUCUGGUGGAGGCUCGCAGCGGUUCUGACGUGCAAAUCGAUCGUCAAAUUUGGGUAUAGGGGCGAAAGACUAAUCGAACCAUCUAGUAGCUGGUUCCUGCCGAAGUUUCCCCUCAAGAUAA
rnacentral:rRNA from 1 species